UACGUAGGGUGCAAGCGUUGUCCGGAAUUAUUGGGCGUAAAGAGCUCGUAGGCGGCUUGUCGCGUCGAAUGUGAAAUCUCAGGGCUCAACUCUGACAUUGCAUUCGAUACGGGCAGACUAGAGUGCGGUAGGGGAGACUGGAAUUCCUGGUGUAGCGGUGAAAUGCGCAGAUAUCAGGAGGAACACCGGUGGCGAAGGCGGGUCUCUGGGCCGUAACUGACGCUGAGGAGCGAAAGCGUGGGGAGCGAACAGG
rnacentral:rRNA from 1 species